rnacentral:lncRNA from 1 species
CCCCUGGGGGUCCCCGCAGUCUCCUGGGGGUCCCCGCAGUCCCCUGGGUGCUGUUGAGGUGUCCCCGUGGUCCCCAGGGUGCUGCUGAGGUCUCUCUGUGGUCUUCAGGGUGCCAGGGAGGUGUCCCCAAUGUCCCUUGGGUGCUGGGGACGUGUCCCCAAGGUCCCCAGGGUGCCAUGGAGGUGUCCCCAAGGUCCCCUGGGUGCUGUUGAGGUGUCCCCAAGGUCCCCAGGGUGCCAGGAGGGUGUCCCCAAGGUUCCUUGGGUGCUGGGGACAUGUCCCCAAGGUCUCCUGGGUGUCUCUGUAGUCUC